rnacentral:rRNA from 1 species
AUACGGAGGGUGCAAGCGUUAUUCGGGAUCACUGGGCGUAAAGGACGCGUAGGCGGGUUGGCAAGUCAGAUGUGAAAUCCUACAGCUUAACUGUAGAACUGCAUUUGAAACUGCUAACCUAGAGUAUGUGAGGGGGAGAUGGAAUUAGUGGUGUAGGGGUAAAAUCCGUAGAUAUCACUAGGAAUACCGAAAGCGAAGGCGAUCUCCUGGAACAUAACUGACGCUAAGGCGUGAAAGCGUGGGGAGCAAACAGAAUUAGAAACCCUAGUAGUCC